CCAGCACGGAUCCAGCCUGAGAGCUGAGAACCAACAGGGGGCCCUGGGAGCUCUAGUUCCUUGGUUAGUUCCCUGUCUAUAGAGCCAGCCCUGUAGCAGGGAAAGGAC